AGAUUGACCAGCCAUACUACUGUUUGUAAAUCUCAGAGAUAAGGUCGGCAUUUUGCCCGAGUUUUGUCAAAACAGAUCUUUUUCAGAAUGUAAACAUAUUUCCUCUAUAAUUGUAAUCUACUGGUGCCAGCUGUUAGAUGUAUCAUUAUCAGACAAUUCAUUGGUCUGAAGUAAGCAAAUUAAGGUCAUGAAAUUAUGUUUUCAAAACCUCUGUCUUCUACAUACUAGUUGGUGGACAAUAAAUGGUCUCCUCAUUUUGGUAAGACUGGAAGCAUGUUGUUUGGGCAUCGUAAAAAAACAAAUAAGACCAGUUUUUGAGAACCUGCACUCCAGUGAUGACAUGGCCUACCACUAAAGGACUUCAUUGGAAAUACACCAGUAUACAUUGUGAUGGUCCCUACAACGUUUGGGGUGAAGAAGGCAUUUAUACUCAACCAAGUUCCUCAUCCGGAAUAUUUGCACCUGCAUCACAGUCGUUCCAUGCCUGUUGUCAAGGUUUGACUAGAUAUUCGGUUUGGAUAUAUUCUUGUGGAUGUGUUUUAAGUGAAAGCUCAUCGUUUACAUAAAUGUAUAAUUUUUUUCAUGGUUUUUCCAACAAGAAUUGUUUUUACCGUUGUUUCAUGUUUAUUCAUUGUCUUUAUGCAAUCUCCUUCUGGAGACCUUUUCA